rnacentral:rRNA from 1 species
GACGGAGGGUGCAAGCGUUGUUCGGAUUGACUGGGCGUAAAGGGCGUGUAGGCGGUUAGCCAAGUCUGGUGUGAAAGCCCGGAGCUCAGCUCCGGAAGUGCAUUGGAAACUAGCUGACUCGAGCGCGAUAGAGGAGGGUAGAAUUCCUGGAGUAGCGGUGAAAUGCGUAGAUAUCAGGAGGAAUACCGGCGGCGAAGGCGGCCCUCUGGGUCGUUGCUGACGCUGAGACGCGAAAGCGUGGGGAGCAAACAGG